UUGUUGUUCCUGGUGGCCGCUGUUUACGCUAGUAGGAUUUACAGCGUUUAUGGCAUACCCCGUGGUUAUGGCGGCUUCCGUGGAUAUGGUGGCUAUGGUCCCUCUCGUAGGCGUGGUGGCCAAGGAAGAUUCCGUGGUGUUGGUUAUGGCACAUACGGUGGUGUCUACAGUGGCGUGUACGGGAUACCCACCUUCGUAGUGGGGAGUGAUCGCGGUUAUGGAUAUCAGUGGUAAUUUCCUCAGCCAGUAGCUGGUCUCAGGAGGCUGGUAGAAGUGUCUGCCCACCGUGUCCUACCCACUGUGUCCUGCCCACCGUGUCCUGCCCACCGUGUCCUGCCCACUGUGUCCUGCCCACUGUGUCCUGCCCACUGUGUCCUGCCCACAGUGUAUCGCCCACUGUGUCCCGCCGACUGUGUCUUGUCCACUGUAUUUGCCCACUAUGUUAAAAACCUUUCCACCAUGUUAGCGACCUGCCCACUGUGUUAACAGCCCACCCACUUCGUUGACAAUCUGUGCAUUGUGUCCUGCUGAGUGUUAUCAUCUACCCACUGUGUUAAAAUCGUGACCACUGCGCUGCUCAUGGGUGUCCUGCCCACUACACCAACAACCUUCUUGUACCCAAAUAUCUUUUUUUUCGAGAUAACAUCAGCUUUUGCUACCCUAUUCACAUAUGUCCCACCCACUGUGUUAACCUCUACACAGGUGUCCCACCCACUGUGUUAACCUCUUCACAUAUGUCCCACCCACUGUGUUAACCUAUUCACAGGUGUCCCACCCACUGUGUUAACCUCUUCACAGGUGUCCCACCCACUGUGUUAACCUCUACACAGGU